GGCUUGUUCAUCACUUAUUUUUUAUUAGCACAAAGUGAUCAUUACCCAAUUAACAAAAUAUAUCCAAAAAAUACAUGCCAUGUACGAAUCCCCCCCGCCCAAUUUUGUUGUUGUUUCUAGCCUUUUGUUGCCAGCAUAAGUGCACAAGGCACACAAUCUUAACCAUUUAUGCUCUGAUUUAUUGGUUUCUCCAGACACAUUUUUGUUAUUUAUCUGAAAGGUUCAAUACAUCAUCUUAAUGCAACAAACGGCAUGCUGCUUAUGCUUAGUGAAAAGGGAAAAUAAAGAAUAUUUUUUUUGUAUAGCCUUUCACCUUUUCUAUUGUACUAUCCACUGUUGGUGCAAUAAUUCUCAUAUGAAAUAUUGUUACUUGUAGAUACUCUUUUUUCGGUUCAAUCCUAAUUUUAAGUGCCUACAAGUUCUUGCACCCUCCGUGCUGCUCUGAGGUGCUUCGUAUUGAUCUCAACCUCUCGGCGACCUCUCUCAUUAAUGGCCGUUCUUCCCCCCUCAUACUCAAGCAACACUUUGCCAGUUGAGCAAUUUCUUGGAGCAGCUCCGUUUCGAAGUCUAAUAUAUUCUUGUCCAAGAUGAAUUAAAGUCCAUUUUCUUUCAUUGCCAGAAGGAAGGAUGAUGCAAGCAGGCCACCAUUUUGUUGGAAGAAAAGCUGCUUUUCUUUCACCAGCUUUCUCUUCUGACAUUCAAUCAGGAGUGCAAAAAUGCAGAUAAGGAGAAGUACUGCACAUGCUGAAAUACCUGUCAAGAUAACAUCCUUUCAGUUUUGGUUCUUGAACACGCAGGUGAGUUGUGUAUCUUUGUAUUAAAGAAGAAAGGAAGGGGGUAGAAGGCCCCGAGCACACUGGAAGCAUACUGGUUUAAUUAGCCUGGAAGACAAUUUUCUUUCAGUUACUAGAACAAGAUUUAGUUUGAGGCACAUGCUCAGACGUAAAAUGGGAAAUUCUACUGCUUUCUUUAGAACAUAAGGACGGGUUACUACUUAAUAGUUUUAUCAUUUAGUACAUUUGAGCGCAUAAAUAGGUAUGCGUUUGUUCCUUAUGCAAUGAUAAAAGUGGGCAUACGAUCUGCAUGUAAGUCAAUGUAGCAUAUGCAGCUAUUAUUUACUACCUCCAUCCGAAAAUAAGUGUCUCAACUCUAGUACAACUUUGUACUAAAGUUAGUACAAAGUUGAGACACUUAUUUUGGGACGGAGGGAGUAUAUGACAACCUUCAGCCUUUUUGUGUUUUUAGUGGUUUUCUGCUGUCGUUAUCAGGAAAAUGGCGUUCAGAAAAAAAUCAUGGAAAAAAUAUGAUUAUGUACGAGCUGUGCAAAAGUAAGAAAAAUUUGAGAUAUGGAACAAAUUGCUGUACAGUACAAGUUAUGAAACUUGUUGUGCAUAAAUGCAUCACGAUUUUUGCAAAGUUAGAAACAUUGGGUUCAUAUGUACCAUGUUCUAAAAAUUGGCUCUAGUCAUUACUACAACUAAUACAAUGCAUGCAUGUGUAAGUGUCCAAUUUUUUUGGAGGAUGAGAUUAGCUGCAAAUAUGUGUGUUACUCUGGCUUCUGACAUGAUUAUCUGUGGCUUGUUGAUCCACUGCAAAUUUGUAUACAGCUUCCAUAUUUACAAAUAAUUAUUUUUGAAUGAGAGGUACUAUUAUUGGCUAAAUGAUAAAUUUGUGCUCGAUAUAUUUCAUUUUUUUGCUUUAAUAUAAAUAGUUAUUUUUAGUGCAAAGUUGAGUUUUUUUUUGCGGGGAAAAUUUGAGUUCUUGUUGUGAAGUACAAGCAACCAAUGACAUCCAAUUGUAAGAAACUCUGCAUUGUUUUAUGUUAUGAACUUUGUGUGUGAUCUAUUGUCACACACGGGCACUUGGCUACUAUUUAAGUAUGUAAUUUACCAUCAGUAUCUUUAAAUUAUGCAGAAGAUUAUACUUUCUAGAAUAAAUGUUACUUUCACUAAUGCGCUAUAUCAGUUUGACUUAUCCAUGCUAUUGAGAUAUUUGGAACAUGUACCUGCAAACAUUUUUGUUAAUCUAGCUCUUUCUGAAACUGCAAUUGGGUCACAGGUUUUUCUCUUUGGAUCUGCACUCUGAGUCGCAGAUUUGCAUGAACAAUCGUAGUCCCCAAUUAUAUUGCUGCAAAUUCCAUGGCAAGGAUACUCAUCUGGGAAAUUGCACUCAUUGAUAUCUGCACACAUAAUUCAAGAACAGAGAAAUAGCUUGAGAUCGAUGCAGAGAUAACUUGAGGUGAACCCAAAAGAAGGAAGUGAGUUACCAACCUUGGCAUCCUUCUUCCAGGUAUGGAUUGCCUGCAAAACCAUUGUUGCAGGUGCAGAGAUAUCCUGUAGCAUUUGGUGAUGUGAUGCACCGGCUAUUCUUGCUAAUACAGGCAUACGUUGACAUGUUCUUCACGGCUUCAUCACAGUAUUCAUUUCCAGCAACCCAGUCAAGCAGAGUGGGUACUCCAUCCUUGAACUUCUCUUUGAAUUUAUUAUCCUCAAGAUAAGAAGCCUCAAACCUGAACCAAUCCUGCUCGGCGACAAAAGCAUAGCUGCAUGGGUUGAAGCCACUCACCUCAGAAUUGUCGAAUCUGUCAUCGAAUGUUAUAUUGGAGAAAUUGAGGUUUGGCGCAAUAGAUGUCUGGCAACAGCCCAUUCCAGAGCACUGAUCACUUUCAUCCACACUUCGCUUGUCUGCGCACAUCGAGAAACACCCAGCUCCCACUCUGUGCUCGUUAAAGCCUCCCAGGAAUGCAAGGGUGUUGCAUCCAACCGCUGUUAAUUUAUUUGCCUUGGUUGAUAUUGUAAAAAACUUACCCGUAUUUAACCAGGCCCAUCCCCCUGUCU